GACAUAGGGUGCAAACGUUGUUCGGAAUUACUGGGCGUAAAGCGCGUGUAGGCGGCAUGACAAGUCGGAUGUGAAAGCCCUGGGCUCAACCCAGGAAGUGCAUUCGAUACUGCCGUGCUAGAGUCCCGGAGAGGGUGGUGGAACUCUCGGUGUAGAGGUGAAAUUCGUAGAUAUCGAGAAGAACACCGGUGGCGAAGGCGGCCACCUGGACGGUGACUGACGCUGAGACGCGAAAGCGUGGGGAGCAAACAGG
rnacentral:rRNA from 1 species